GAUGAACGCUAGCUACAGGCUUAACACAUGCAAGUCGAGGGACCGGCGCACGGGUGAGUAACACGUAUCCAACCUGCCCUUUACUCGGGGAUAGCCUUUCGAAAGAAAGAUUAAUACCCGAUGUAAAGGAUGGGGAUGCGUUCCAUUAGGUUGUUGGUGAGGUAACGGCUCACCAAGCCUUCGAUGGAUAGGGGUUCUGAGAGGAAGGUCCCCCACAUUGGAACUGAGACACGGUCCAAACUCCUACGGGAGGCAGCAGUGAGGAAUAUUGGUCAAUGGGCGUUAGCCUGAACCAGCCAAGUAGCGUGAAGGAUGAAGGCUUAUGGGUCGUAAACUUCUUUUAUAUGGGGAUAGGUACCAUAUGAAUAAGGACCGGCUAAUUCCGUGCCAGCAGCCGCGGUAAUAC
rnacentral:rRNA from 1 species